rnacentral:rRNA from 1 species
GUAGGUGGCAAGCGUUGUCCGGAAUUACUGGGCGUAAAGCGCGCGCAGGCGGUUCUUUAAGUCUGAUGUGAAAGCCCACGGCUCAACCGUGGAGGGUCAUGGAAACUGGAGAACUUGAGUACCGAAGAGGAAAGCGGAAUUCCACGUGUAGCGGUGAAAUGCGUAGAGAUGUGGAGGAACACCAGUGGCGAAGGCGGCUUUCUGGUCUGUAACUGACGCUGAGGCGCGAAAGCGUGGGGAGCAAACAGGGAUUAGAUACCCUGGUAGUCCACGCCGUAAACGAUGAGUGCUAAGUGUUAGGGGGUUUCCGCCCCCUUAGUGCUGCAGCUAACGCAUUAAGCACUCCGCCUGGGGAUACGGCCGCAAGGCUG